UUCAUGGAGAGUUUGAUCCUGGCUCAGGACGAACGCUGGCGGCGUGCCUAAUACAUGCAAGUCGAGCGGACCGACGGGAGCUUGCUCCCUUAGGUCAGCGGCGGACGGGUGAGUAACACGUGGGUAACCUGCCUGUAAGACUGGGAUAACUCCGGGAAACCGGGGCUAAUACCGGAUGCUUGAUUGARCCGCAUGGUUCAAUYAUAAAAGGUGGCUUUCAGCUACCACUUACAGAUGGACCCGCGGCGCAUUAGCUAGUUGGUGAGGUAACGGCUCACCAAGGCGACGAUGCGUAGCCGACCUGAGAGGGUGAUCGGCCACACUGGGACUGAGACACGGCCCAGACUCCUACGGGAGGCAGCAGUAGG
rnacentral:rRNA from 1 species